rnacentral:rRNA from 1 species
UACGCUGGCGGCACGCCUUAUACAUGCAAGUCGAACGAAGUAGCAAUACUUAGUGGCAGACGGGUGAGUAACAUGUAGGUAUCUACCCUUUGGCCUGGAAUAACACGAGGAAACUUGUGCUAAUACCGGAUAAGUCUUUACGGAGAAAGCUUUAUGCACCAUUGGAUGAGCCUGCACUAGAUUAGUUUGUUGGUGGGGUAAUGGCCUACCAAGACUAUGAUCUAUAGCUGAUUUGAGAGGAUGAUCAGCCACAUUGGAACUGAGACACGGUCCAAACUCCUACGGGAGGCAGCAGUAGGGAAUCUUGCACAAUGGAGGAAACUCUGAUGCAGCGAUGCCGCGUGAGUGAAGAAGGCCUUUGGGUUGUAAAGCUCUUUCGUCGGGGAAGAAAAUGACUGUACCCGAAUAAGAAGGUCCGGCUAACU